rnacentral:rRNA from 1 species
UUUUAUGGAGAGUUUGAUCCUGGCUCAGGAUGAACGCUGGCGGCGUGCCUAAUACAUGCAAGUCGAGCGAACGGAUGAGAAGCUUGCUUCUCUGAUGUUAGCGGCGGACGGGUGAGUAACACGUGGAUAACCUACCUAUAAGACUGGGAUAACUUCGGGAAACCGGAGCUAAUACCGGAUAAUAUUUUGAACCGCAUGGUUCAAAAGUGAAAGACGGUCUUGCUGUCACUUAUAGAUGGAUCCGCGCUGCAUUAGCUAGUUGGUAAGGUAACGGCUUACCAAGGCAACGAUGCAUAGCCGACCUGAGAGGGUGAUCGGCCACACUGGAACUGAGACACGGUCCAGACUCCUACGGGAGGCAGCAGUAGGGAAUCUUCCGCAAUGGGCGAAAGCCUGACGGAGCAACGCCGCGUGAGUGAUGAAGGUCUUCGGAUCGUAAAACUCUGUUAUUA